CAAUGCCAUAAGCCCUUCCAGUAGAUCCCAGCUCUCCCUUGCCGCAGCUUCCAGGUGGUGCUGGAGCUGGGACUGGGCUGAAAGACUGAGCUAAGGAGACAGCCCAGGGUCUUCAAAAACCCUUGGAAAGGGUUUUUGUGUUCUAUAUGUGUUCUUUACACUGCUUUACAGGAAGGCCCCUCAAACAGCUGCGGUGGAAAGUAGCAAGGAGCAUGGUGACCUGUGUGGUAUGCAGGACCAAGCUAUGCCCUAAGAGGUUAUUCAGCUCUCUGGCCAAAGAGUUUGGCUUUCACAUGAAGAAGAGGGAGAAAGCUGUCUUUUCUGUGGCUGAAAAUACUGUCCAGUAUCAAUUAUUAUGAGGCCUUUUAUAACAGCCUUAUGCAGUCAGGAUGGGGGAGUUUUAAAUAGUCACAGCUGUUCUCCACAUUCAUUUGCUCCCUUCUUUAAAGGCUCAGCCCCAUUCCCAGCAUGUAGGUCAUUCACACGUCUUUCUCGGUGAGCUUUUCUCCUGAUUCCUUUCCAACCAGCCACACAGUCACUUCUCCCGUACUUCCCUGCAUGGUCAUGUUGAGCAGCAUCCUGCGUGCUUGAGCUAGCCUUGAUUUGCAGGUCUGCUGCCCGGAACUGUAAGGUCAGACAUGGAGCGAGACUGCAAACCCAGUCGCCUGUGAGGCUUCCCAGACCAUGCAAAAUGCCAGUGCUGUUGUGGGAUUCUAUAGAAUUAGCAAAUGUGAAGCCACUGCUUGCCUCUCCCAUAGUUUGAGGAGAUAGAUUUUGGAGUUACUUGCCCAAAAUGACAGCAAUGCUAUAUCUUCCACAAAUCAGUUUCUGCAUCAGACAGCUGAGUUUUAUGAACCUAGUAUUUAUUAAGUCAAUGGACAUUGCUUCUGAAGCAAGGCUGAGGCACUCAGGUGCACUGACAGCAUCCGCUUCUCAAAACCAACUUAAGUACUUGACCUUAAAACUUAGCACCACCUGUGGACCACUGGUGGACAGGAGGAACCCCUGAAGCACAGCUCGGUUCAGCAGCAUGGGGGGAACAUACCUAGGUCAACAACCUUCCCUCCCCCUUUCCCUCCACCCCUGUGAGAUGUUACAUAGUGCCGUCUAAAUAUCUUAAAUCUGGCUCUGGUGUCCUUCACUGCAGAAUGUUGUUUCUAGAAAAUGUGCCUCUCAGAGGCACUGAGAUGGAUAUCCAUCCAACUUGCAUGGGUUUUGCAUGGCUAUGAAGUCCGUGAUCAAAAUUUGUCCAGGAGGACAUGAUUUUAAUCCUGUUUGGAAAUGACAGAGGAAACAAAAUAACCACUGUUAUUAUCAUAAACACACAAAACCUGUGCCACAGCUGCCAUGCCAACAGACUUCAACACAUUCAGUGUUGAAUCCUUGUACGUUAGGCUUGUUCACUUAUUUAUGCCCAAAAUCAAGCUUCAAGCCAUGCAUCUCCCUGCUUGUAGUGUGACUUGGUGCAAUUCUGCUAUAUUAAUUUCAGACUCAUUAAGAAAAACUCCAAGCAUCAUAUUACUCUGUGCAUUGCAUAUGUACAUGGUAGCAGCUGAUGAAGUAUUCCAGGAAGGAAGGGGAAAUCUGCAGCCUUGUUAACUAACAUUUUUGAAAUGAGAGGGAGAAAAAAUCUCAGCUGGAAGCGUGGAUCUGUCUAUUUACCACCAUAAAAUGGAUCCUUCCCAGUGCCUUUGCAAACAUGCAAAGAAGCAGGGCAAAAACUCUCCUAAAAAUAGCUUGGAUUAACUAGCUUGGAGAUUUACCAACCUUGCUAAUUCCAGGGAACUGGUGAGAAAUUUUCCAUAUAAAUUGGAAAAUAUCUGAAAGGAAUUAAAAUGUUGCCAAAAUGUUAGCAAAUUCUUCAUGCCCAGCCUCUGUUUUCCUGUAGUUCUCCUUGGGCCUGACUCACCUCCUCCUGGAAUCACUGGACAUCCUUCUCCUGAGUUUGUUGGAAGCUUAUCUGGUCGUGUACAUUUUACUUUGAAUUUCUGAGAAAUUUAUGUACAAUGCUGUGAGUUGAUGUAGAAGUAAACAUUUAUUGUAUAGAGAAUAAAUACUGAAAAGCAAUGUUAUUUUAUGGAAAAAUCAUUCUGCUGGAGACACUAUACACACAAUCUAAUACAACUCUUAGGAACACAUAAGAGAAACAUGGGGUUCCUUCACUUUGGGGUGAAUUUCACAUGUAAGACCUCAGCUACACUGACAUCAUACUAUGAAGCAACCUAUUGUAAACAUUUUGCAUUGAAAACAAAAGGUAGAACUUCAUUGAAAUAAUCAUAAAACUACUUUUCCUAUACUAACUACAGCUGUGGGGCAUGUUUCUAUGGAAACAGUUUUCCUUAUGUGCUUCUCUAUAGCUAAAGGUCUCAAAUGGACCUUCUGUCUACUCAUUGCCUGUAUAAACUGCAGAUUCUGUACAAUAAUCUCUAACACAGAUCAGCUGAAUCUCCUGAUAUGUGUCAGAAAACAUUAUCAGGAGGCAAACACCAGUUAUUGCAGGUUCCCAUAAAUUUAUAGAUAAUCAGGUCCUUAGUGGCGAGUUGGCAUCUUCAGUG